rnacentral:rRNA from 1 species
UGGGGAAUUUUGGACAAUGGGCGAAAGCCUGAUCCAGCAAUGCCGCGUGUGUGAAGAAGGCCUUCGGGUUGUAAAGCACUUUUGUCCGGAAAGAAAUCCUUGGCUCUAAUACAGUCGGGGGAUGACGGUACCGGAAGAAUAAGCACCGGCUAACUACGUGCCAGCAGCCGCGGUAAUACGUAGGGUGCAAGCGUUAAUCGGAAUUACUGGGCGUAAAGCGUGCGCAGGCGGUUUGCUAAGACCGAUGUGAAAUCCCCGGGCUCAACCUGGGAACUGCAUUGGUGACUGGCAGGCUAGAGUGUGGCAGAGGGGGGUAGAAUUCCACGUGUAGCAGUGAAAUGCGUAGAGAUGUGGAGGAAUACCGAUGGCGAAGGCAGCCCCCUGGGCCAAUACUGACGCUCAUGCACGAAAGCGUGGGGAGCAAAACAGGAUUAGAUACCCUGGUAGUCCACGCCCUAAACGAUGUCAACUAGUUGUUGGGGAUUCAUUUCCUUAGUAACGUAGCUAACGCGUGAAGUUGACCGCCUGGGGAGUACGGUCGCAAGAUUAAAACUUAAAGGAAUUGACGGGGUCAUAGCUGUUUCCU